AGGGGAGUAGUUCAAUGGUAGAAUCGCGGUCUCCAAAACCGUUGGUUGAGGGUUCGAGUCCUUUCUCCCCUGCCA
rnacentral:tRNA from 2 species